GAUGAACGCUGGCGGCGUGCCUAAUACAUGCAAGUCGAGCGAACGGACGAGAAGCUUGCUUCUCUGAUGUUAGCGGCGGACGGGUGAGUAACACGUGGAUAACCUACCUAUAAGACUGGGAUAACUUCGGGAAACCGGAGCUAAUACCGGAUAAUAUUUUGAACCGCAUGGUUCAAAAGUGAAAGACGGUCUUGCUGUCACUUAUAGAUGGAUCCGCGCUGCAUUAGCUAGUUGGUAAGGUAACGGCCUACCAAGGCAACGAUGCAUAGCCGACCUGAGAGGGUGAUCGGCCGCACUGGAACUGAGACACGGUCCAGACUCCUACGGGAGGCAGCAGUAGGGAAUCUUCCGCAAUGGGCGAAAGCCUGACGGAGCAACGCCGCGUGAGUGAUGAAGGUCUUCGGAUCGUAAAACUCUGUUAUUAGGGAAGAACAUAUGUGUAAGUAACUGUGCACAUCUUGACGGUACCUAAUCAGAAAGCCACGGCUAACUACGUG
rnacentral:rRNA from 1 species